UAAUCUAAAAAAGUCACUGAAUUGAACACUCACUUGAAAUAAACAAGGCAUCGCACGAUGGGAUAACUGAAUAAGUUGUGUCAAAAGUCCUAGGUUCCCGUGCUGUUACAAAAAAGGUCUUUCAGACUUGCAUUCUCUGUCUCUUCUUUCUCGGGUAGCAUUACCAGUCUCCAAGCGGAAAGAUCAUGACUACUUCGAAACGUCUGGCAGAAAAGAAAACAGCGAAAUUUGAGAACAAUAUCACAAGGAGAGGACUGGCUCCUCAAUCAUCUAAGAAAGAAGAAUGGGAACCUGCACACAUGGUUCUUGUCCUCUUUGCAGUUCUGAUACUAUUGUCAUUUAUUUAUCAGGUUGUCAGGAUGGCGAUUAACGGAUGAAUGAGCUGAGAAAAUGGAU